UACGUAGGGGGCGAGCGUUGUCCGGAGUUACUGGGCGUAAAGGGCGUGUAGGCGGUUGAAUAAGUCCGGUGUGAAAUUCCGAAGCUCAACUUCGGAACUGCGCUGGAUACUGUUUGACUGGAGUUUGGCAGGGGUAACUGGAAUUCCUGGUGUAACGGUGAAAUGUGUAGAUAUCAGGAGGAACACCUGUGGCGAAGGCGGGUUACUGGGCCACAACUGACGCUGAGACGCGAAAGCGUGGGUAGCAAACAGG
rnacentral:rRNA from 1 species